GACGAACGCUGGCGGCGUGCUUAACACAUGCAAGUGGAGCGACGAACCGGGGCUUGCCCCGGGGCAGAGCCGCGAACGGGUGAGUAACACGUGGGUAACCUGCCUCAAUGAUUGGGACAACCCGGGGAAACUCGGGCUAAUACCAAAUGUGUUCACUCCUUCUAAGGGGAGUGAGGAAAGGAAGCUUCGGCCUCCGCAUUGAGAUGGGCCCGCGGCCCAUUAGCUUGUUGGUGAGGUAACGGCUCACCAAGGCUUCGAUGGGUAGCUGGUCUGAGAGGACGAUCAGCCACACUGGGACUGAGACACGGCCCAGACUCCUACGGAGGCAGCAGUGGGGAAUC
rnacentral:rRNA from 1 species